UCGAUGUCGGCUCAUCGCAUCCUGGGGCUGGACAAGGUCCCAAGGGUUGGUCUGUUCGCCCAUUAAAGCGGUACGUGAGCUGGGUUCAGAACGUCGUGAGACAGUUCGGACUCUAUCCAUCGUAGGCGGAGGAGACUUGAGGGGAGCUGUCCUUAGUACGAGAGGACCAGGAUGGACAUACCUCUGAUGUACGAGCUGUACUGCCAAGUGCACCGCUCGGUAGUCAAGUAUGGAAGGGAUAACCGCUGAAAGCAUCUAAGUGGGAAGCCCACCCCAAGAUUAGGUCUCCCGUGUACCCUUCUGGCAACAGAAGGGAUACCCUAAAGGCUCCUGGUAGACUACCAGGCGAUAGGUCACCGGUGUACGCACAGCAAUGUGCUUAGCCAAGUGACACUAAUCAGCCGUGCGGCUUGAUUU
rnacentral:rRNA from 1 species